rnacentral:rRNA from 1 species
AUCAGUAAGCGGAGGAAAAGAAACUAACGAGGAUUCCCUCAGUAGCGGCGAGUGAAGCGGGAAGAGCCCAGCACCGAAUCCCGCGUCCGUAGGGGCGCCGGGAACUGUGGUGUUCGGGACGACCGUCUUUGAGGGGACGGCCCUUGUCUCUGUCAGGCGUCCAAGUCCUCCUGAACGGGGCCCCAUCCCACGGCGGGUGUCAGGCCCUUGGUGACGCCGGGCCGCCCCUCUCCGGGCACGUCCCAGGAGUCGGGUUGCUUGAGAAUGCAGCCCAAAGCGGGUGGUAAACUCCAUCUAAGGCUAAAUACGGGCACGAGUCCGAUAGCGGACAAGUACCGUGAGGGAAAGUU